rnacentral:rRNA from 1 species
CCUACGGGUGGCAGCAGUGAGGAAUAUUGGUCAAUGGCCGGAAGGCUGAACCAGCCAUGUCGCGUGAAGGUCAGUGCCCUAUGGGCGUUAAACUUCUUUUGUGCGGGAGCAAUAAUGGUCACGUGUGGCCAGACGAGAGUACCGUACGAAUAAGCAUCGGCUAACUCCGUGCCAGCAGCCGCGGUAAUACGGGGGGUGCAAGCGUUAUCCGGAUUUAUUGGGUUUAAAGGGUGCGUAGGCUGGGAGGUAAGUCAGCGGUGAAAUGCCCCCGCUCAACGGGGUGAAGUGCCAUUGAUACUGCCUGGCUGGAAUGCGGAUGCGGUGGGAGGAAUGUGUGGUGUAGCGGUGAAAUGCAUAGAUAUCACACAGAACACCGAUUGCGAAGGCAUCUCACGAAUCCGCGAUUGACGCUGAUGCACGAAAGCGUGGGUAUCAAACAGGAUUAGAUACCCCGGUAGUC